AUCGCCCCUGUGAAUUCCUGGUGUAUAAAACAGGCAGGAAAAGUUGUCUGGAGGUAUUUGCGGAGAACUGUGUCUGUUCGGGAGGGAGCUGUGGGGUUGGAGGCUGAGCUACGCCUCUCCCUUUGCUUCCUGGGUGAGAGCAGCGAGACGUGGCACUUAGCUGAAGCGAGCAGAGAGAGAUCGCUUCCCGGACUUAAGGAGAUAAGAAAAUCCAUCUUUAAAAGAACUCCUGGAAGGCCCAACAAUGGGCUCAAAACAUAAUUUUUAAAUCAAGUCCUCCGGCCCUGCUGAAGUUCAAGGCAACAGUGAGAACUAGAAUCCGUGACAAAUGAAGACAUGACAGAUAUGGCCAACCAUGUGGCUGGAGGCAAGCCUCAGUGAGCUGGGCAUAGUCAAUACCCUUGAUGGCGCAAUGACUGGCAUCGUAAGUUCGGGAGUUCCUGGCCUGCUCCAGUUUCCAUUAGAGUGCUGGCUGAAAGGUGGACUCAGAGAUUAAUCAGUGGUGCUGGCUGAACCUUGAGGGAAACAGCGACAUUUAAAAAGAAUGUCCUGAGGCAGGCGCUUCUUAAUAUUUCUAUCAGUUACUCGAGUGAUGAAAUAAAAGACAAGUUGAUUUAA